rnacentral:rRNA from 1 species
CGGAGAAGGUUAGGCCAGCCUGGCGUUGGUUGUCCAGGUUUAAGGUGGUAGGCUGAAAUCUUAGGCAAAUCCGGGAUUUCAAGGCCGAGAGCUGAUGACGAGUUGCCAUUAGGCGACGAAGUGGUUGAUACCAUGCUUCCAAGAAAAGCUCCUAAGCUUCAGAUAACUGGGAACCGUACCCCAAACCGACACAGGUGGUUAGGUAGAGAAUACCAAGGCGCUUGAGAGAACUCGGGUGAAGGAACUAGGCAAAAUGGCACCGUAACUUCGGGAGAAGGUGCGCCGGCGAGGGUCAAGGACUUGCUCCGUAAGCCCAUGCCGGUCGAAGAUACCAGGCCGCUGCGACUGUUUAUUAAAAACACAGCACUCUGCAAACACGAAAGUGGACGUAUAGGGUGUGACGCCUGCCCGGUGUCGGAAGGUUAAUUGAUGGGGUUAGCGCAAGCGAAGCUCUUGAUCGAAGCCCCGGUAAACGGCGGCCGUAACUAUAACGGUCCUAAGGUAGCGAAAUUCCUUGUCGGGUAAGUUCCGACCUGCACGAAUGGCGUAACGAUGGCGGCGCUGUCUCCACCCGAGACUCAGUGAAAUUGAAAUCGCUGUGAAGAUGCAGUGUAUCCGCGGCUAGACGGAAAGACCCCGUGAACCUUUACUAUAGCUUUGCACUGGACUUUGAAUUUGCUUGUGUAGGAUAGGUGGGAGGCUUUGAAGUGGGGACGCCAGUUCUCAUGGAGCCAUCCUUGAAAUACCACCCUGGCAACUUUGAGGUUCUAACUCAGGUCCGUUAUCCGGAUCG